AAGUGAGAAGCAAAUAAUUGCAAUCAGUUUCGACCUGGUCCUAGAUAAGACUUUUAUCCUUACUUU
rnacentral:tRNA from 1 species